rnacentral:rRNA from 1 species
UACGUAGGGUGCAGGCGUUAAUCGGAAUUACUGGGCGUAAAGCGUGCGCAGGCGGUCUUUUAAGUCAGAUGUGAAAUCCCCGGGCUUAACCUGGGAACUGCGUUUGAAACUGAAAGGCUAGAGUGUGGCAGAGGGGGGUGGAAUUCCACGUGUAGCAGUGAAAUGCGUAGAGAUGUGGAGGAACACCGAUGGCGAAGGCAGCCCCCUGGGCUAACACUGACGCUGAGACGCGAAAGCGUGGGGAGCAAACAGG